rnacentral:rRNA from 1 species
GAUGAACGCUGGCGGCGCGCCUAACACAUGCAAGUCGAACGAUUAAAGCACCUUCGGGUGUGUAUAAAGUGGCGAACGGCUGAGUAACACGUGGGCAACCCGCCCCUUUCAUUGGGAUAGCCACGGGAAACCGUGGAUAAUACCGAAUACUUCGAGACUUCCGCAUGGAAGACUCGAGAAAGCUCCGGCGGAGGGGGAUGGGCCCGCGGCCUGUUAGCUUGUUGGUGGGGUAACGGCCUACCAAGGCAAUGAUGGGUAGCUGGGUUGAGAGACCGACCAGCCAGAUUGGGACUGAGACACGGCCCAGACUCCUACGGGAGGCAGCAGUGGGGAAUCUUGCACAAUGGGCGGAAGCCUGAUGCAGCGACGCCGCGUGCGGGAUGAAGGCCUUCGGGUUGUAAACCGCUUUCAGCAGGGACGAGGCGAAAGUGACGGUACCUGCAGAAGAAGCCCCGGCUAACUACGUG